AUUGAACGCUGGCGGCAUGCCUUACACAUGCAAGUCGAACGGCAGCACGGGAGCAAUCCUGGUGGCGAGUGGCGAACGGGUGAGUAAUAUAUCGGAACGUGCCCGGUCGUGGGGGAUAACGUAGCGAAAGCUACGCUAAUACCGCAUACGAUCUACGGAUGAAAGCGGGGGGAUCGCAAGACCUCGCGCGAUUGGAGCGGCCGAUAUCAGAUUAGGUAGUUGGUGAGGUAAAGGCUCACCAAGCCGACGAUCUGUAGCUGGUCUGAGAGGACGACCAGCCACACUGGGACUGAGACACGGCCCAGACUCCUACGGGGGGGGANCGAG
rnacentral:rRNA from 1 species